UUGAAAUCUAAACAGGGCCGUAACUGUCUCCUGUCUGUCGUAUAUACGUAUGAGGUGGUAGUAUCUCCGUAUCUCCGUACCCGCACUGGCAGGGUGUCGCUGAGGUGGCCGCGCGGCUAGUGGGCUCCAACUGCAAAGACCCCGGGCCCACAUGUCAUCCACCGAGAAGGAAAACCCACCGGCAAACAGUUAUCCGGGCCCACCGCCGCUGUAGCACACUGCUCGUUGAUUCGACCAACGCGGCAUUUCUUCCUUCCCCCUACGAAAUUACCAUCCUACCCUCUCCCACUCCCUCCUCCCUGAACCAAGCCCACGCGCCUCGCCGUCCGAUCCACCUCGAGAUCCGCGCCCUCCUGCGCUCAGCUCCUACACCGAGUCCACAGAGAAACCAGGUCCGCCCCCGCGCGGACUCUCCGUACACCCCUCCCCACCGCGCUGGCCCCCACUCCGACCGUCCGUUCCCGCCUCGUGAUUCGUGCCGGCGACCACCCGCCUCCGUGGACCCGGUCCACGGGGAGAUUACACCUUCACCCCCCUCACCUCACCUCACCUCACACCACGCGUCUCCCCCCACCAACUAGCUCUCUCUCUCUCUCUCUCUCUCGCGCCGCCGCUACGCUCGCCGCGCCGCCGCUACGCUCGCCGCGCCGCCGCUACGCUCGCCGCGCCGCCGCGGGUGGGGAGAUUUGACCGGCGUUGACUCCGGGAUGGACGGGCGGUUCCCGCUGCCGCCGGCGAGCGGAGGGGGGCGGGGGCACCACCGGCGGGCGCACUCGGAGACGUUCCUGCGGC
rnacentral:lncRNA from 1 species